rnacentral:rRNA from 1 species
AGUACGUGAAACUGCUUAGAGGUUAAGCCUGAUGAACCUGAAUAUCCAUUAUUGGAAAAUUCAUCAUCAAUAUUAUAGUAUAUAUUUAUUUAUAUAUUGUAAAAAUGAUGUGCAUUUUUUCCAUAAAGGACAUUGUAAUCGGUUAAUAAAUUAAAAAUCUAUCAAAAGAUUCAUUUAAAGAGUUUAUUCUAGUUAAAUUUAAAUUUAUUUGGAUUUAAAAUUGAAUAAAUUUUAUGAAUUUAAUAGAUUGUUGACCGAUUUAAUUAUAAUAAUGUUCAAAAAAAAUUUCUUUUGAAAUUUUUUACAGUAAAUAUUUUAUAUAUUCUUUGAAUAUAUAUAUAUUUUAUUGUAUACAUUUUUAUGAUUUACAAUGUUAUAAAUUCAGGAUACCUUCGGGACCCGUCUUGAAACACGGACCAAGGAGUCUAACAUAUGUGCAAGUCGUUGAGUAAUUUUUAUGAAACUCAAAGGCAUAAUUAACUUGACUGUUUUUAAUGGGAUUAGUUUGUGUAAUUUUUUUUUAUUAUGAAAAAAAAUUCAUAAAUUCAAUCCCAGGGCGUUCUAUAUAGUUAUGCAUAAUAAUAUUUAUAUUAUUUAUGUCUCUAACUG